rnacentral:rRNA from 1 species
UACGUAGGGCGCAAGCGUUGUCCGGAAUUAUUGGGCGUAAAGAGCUCGUAGGCGGUUUGUCGCGUCUGCUGUGAAAACUCGAGGCUCAACCUCGGGCUUGCAGUGGGUACGGGCAGACUAGAGUGCGGUAGGGGUGACUGGAAUUCCUGGUGUAGCGGUGAAAUGCGUAGAUAUCGGGAGGAACACCAGUGGCGAAGGCGGCUGCCUGGGCCAGUUCUGACGCUGAGGCGCGAAAGCGUGGGGAGCAAACAGG